rnacentral:rRNA from 1 species
GACGAACGCUGGCGGCGUGCUUAACACAUGCAAGUCGAACGAUGAAGCGGUGCUUGCACCGUGGAUUAGUGGCGAACGGGUGAGUAAUACGUGAGUGACCUACCUUUGACUCUGGGUUAAGCCUGGGAAACUGGGUCUAAUACCGGAUACGACCAAUCUCUGCAUGGGGUGUUGGUGGAAAGCGUUAUGGAGUGGUUUUAGAUGGGCUCACGGCCUAUCAGCUUGUUGGUGAGGUAAUGGCUUACCAAGGCGACGACGGGUAGCCGGCCUGAGAGGGUGACCGGCCACACUGGGACUGAGACACGGCCCAGACUCCUACGGGAGGCAGCAGUGGGGAAUAUUGCACAAUGGGCGCAAGCCUGAUGCAGCGACGCCGCGUGAGGGAUGACGGCCUUCGGGUUGUAAACCUCUGUUAGCAUCGAAGAAGCGAAAGUGACGGUAGGUGCAGAGAAAGCGCCGGCUAACUACGUG